rnacentral:ncRNA from 1 species
AAAGCGGGAGAUACUGUUUAUUACAGAGCCGAAGGAGCAACAUACCCGGAAACUCUCAGGCAAAAAGGACCGCGGAAAA